rnacentral:lncRNA from 1 species
UUUGGUGAGCCACUUCCCCCACCUUGAUUGUGGGCAAUUAUGUGUGGUCUGCUGAAGGAGGAAGUUCAUUGAUACUGUAUUCUAAAUCAGUAGUUCUCAAUCUUUACAUCAAAAUAAACUUUAGAGAUUUAAAAAAAAAUUAUAUAGAUACUCCCAGAGAUUCAGAUUCAAUUGCCGGGCAUGGGCCUAAGUAUCAGUAUUUUUAAGCAAUCCAGGUGAUUCUAUUCUGCAGCCACAAUUGACAACCACUGCCUAAAAUUUUAACCAGCUAUAGUGACCAAUUUGUCCUUGUUUGUCCAGGUUUCCUCAUUUUAAAACUGUAAGUCUCAUGCCCAAGGAAGCUUUCAGUCCCAGGUAAACCAGAACAAUUGGUAACCCCAGGCCUAGAAGUCUGUGCUCUCAACCUCCUAAAGAAGACCUGAGUCAUAUAAAUCAUAUAAAUGCACAGGCUCUGUAAUUAUGAAGAGGAAGUAGCACUAGGCUCACAGUCCAAAAACCCAAGUUUAAGCCUUUCUUUUUGCCAUUCCUAACUAUGCGACUUUGGGGAGAGUCACUUAACUCCUUACAGAUUGAGUGUCCUCAGUUCCCUGCUUCUUCACUGCCAUGUCAUUAUGGGGAUCAAAUAACAGCUCACAUACCAGAAGAGGAGACUGAAGUUCAAGGAGGAUAAAUGACAAUGCUGGGGUCAUUGAGUCCGUAAGACAUGUGACCUGACUUCCAGGCCUGAUUGUCUUCCACUGCAGCUGUCAUGUAAGAAUGCAAAGAGGGAUUCUCAUGGCUACGACUGACCUAUGAAUCACCAUCGCAGGCUGAGAGCAAAGCAGCGGGCCAUUCACAUUCCACACACUAGCUUCAUUUAUGAAUAAUGGAAAUCUUGUUCUACUCAUCUCUGAGGACUUAUCCAGAUAAUAACAUCUGUUGGUUAUUGUCAGAUGUUUCUAUUGUUCUGCUGCUCCCUGAUUUUGAGGCUUGCCGUGGUGA